UGACUGUAUUUAGUGACAUUAUUAUACAAGGGGCUUAUUUCUGUGUGGUACAAAAAUGUUUUAAUCUUUUUCUAAGUUUAAAUUUGGUGGCGAUCCUAAGCCAAAAGCUUUUUACCACAUCACCCUGUGAUAUAUAAAAGCUUGUUUUGCUUCUAAAUGUUUUCUAUAGGUAUAGGUAUACUUUUUAUUCUGUUGUAGAUAAUUUCAUAUAGCUGGAUUGAAAGGAGCCAUUGUACAUUCUCUAAAAUAAUUUCAUCUUCAUUAGUAAAAAUUUAUCGAAUACUUAUGAUGUGUAAGGUACUAGAAAAAGGAAAGCUUGUAAACACCUCAAAACUUCUGCAUUUUAAUCAGAUAAACAGACUAUUCCAUUUAAGAAGUCAAUAGGAGAAUAUACUCAUCUCAAAUCCUUUUUGGAAACAGGUAACACAUUAGUUGCCGUGUAAUAUAAGGAUAUUUGCUCUAAAAGCCAUGCAAAUAGCAUAGACAGAAGUUGCUCUAGGAAUUAAGAAAAAGGAGAAGUAAUGGUAGAUUGGAACAUUCAGGGAGGCAUUUUUGAUAUACCUUAAGAGGAGGUUGGGAUCAUAAGAAUUACCUUGGUUGCUUGUUAAAAAUUAAUUCCUGAAUCUAACCUUAAAUCAGGGAAGGAUCCUGGGAAACUCUAUUUUUUAAUAUCCCCUCACCUCUACCACUCAUGCCCUGCUGUGAUUCAUACUAGAAGAAAGUUUGUGAAAUACCAAUUUAAUUGAUUAGAAAGGAGACGACGAUGUAAGCCAAGUUUGAAGGCAGAAAUAUAUCUGACUUAUUCAGGGCCAGUGAGUAAGACCUAUUUGAACAGAGCAGAGGUUUAUCUCUGUACCUGUGUACAUGUUUUGGAAAGUAGGGGGCGAUGUUGAUAUUGGGCUAGAGGUAAGGUUGUAAUUUUGUUGGUUGAGGUUAAUGCCAUCCAUAUUAACUAAGAAAUUAGGACAUUAUCUUGCUGGUAGUGGUUACGUAUUAAAGUCUUUUUAACCAGGGAUUGGCAUGUUUAUAGUUUGUUUUAAAACAUUAAUUCAGUAGAGAAACUGAAUAAAUGAAAACAAUGUAGGAACCAGAAAAACAUAUAAACCAGGAGUUUUAAGAGCAGGAAUGAAGAGAAAAAUAAGAGCCGAAAGACUUUUUGAAGGAAGAACUGAUAGGAUUUGGUGACUGGAAAUGGGAGAGGCAAAAAUCAAGCAUAUUUUUGUUAUAUACUCUUCUUAAAGAUGUUGAGAGAAAAAGUUGAAGGAAGCAGUAAAAUUCAGUAUCGCAAAGAACAACAGCAACAACAAAUGUGGAAUUCAGCCAGGACUCCCAAUCUUGUAAAACAUUCUCCAUCUGAAGAUAAGAUGUCCCCAGCAUCUCCAAUAGAUGAUAUUGAAAGAGAACUGAAGGCAGAAGCUAGUCUAAUGGACCAGAUGAGUAGUUGUGAUAGCUCAUCAGAUUCCAAAAGUUCACCAUCUUCAAGUAGUGAGGAUAGUUCUAGUGACUCAGAAGAUGAAGAAUGCAAAUCCUCUACUUCUGAUACAGGGAAUUGUGUCUCAGGACAUCCUACCAUGACACAUUACAGGAUUCCUGAUAUAGAUGACAGUCAUAAUAGAUUUCGAGACAACAGUGGCCUUCUGAUGAAUACUUUGAGAAAUGAUUUGCAGCUGAGUGAAUCAGGAAGUGACAGUGAUGACUGAAGAAAUGUUUAGCUAUAAAUAAAAAUUUACACAGCAGGUAUAAUUUAUUUCGUAUUAAGAAUAAAAAUUCCUAAGACCGAGGGAAAUAUGUCUUAACUUUUGAUGAGAAAAGAAAUUAAAUUUGAUUCAGAAAUUUCAGUUGGUGUUAUUUAUUUAUUUGUUUAUUAGACAUUGUCUUGCUUUGUCGCCCAGACUGGAGUGCAGCUGGGGACUCCUACCUUAGCUUCCCAUAGGUGAGAUUGUAGGCAUGCACCACCAUGCCGAGGUAAUUAUUUGGGGGGAGGGGAGUAGAGAUGGGGUCUUGACGUGUUGCCCAGGCUGCUCUCAAGGUCCUGGGGUCAAGCAGUCUUCCUGGCUUGGCUUCCCAAAGUGCUAGGAUUUUAGAUUUGAGCCACUGAGCUUGGUCUGAUGUUAUAUUUUUAACCUCUUGCAGGUUAGGUAACUUGUUCCACAUAGUAUUAGUUAAGUGGCAGAUCAGGUGUUUUAGAGUCUAAGUUUAGUGUUCUGUUUUACCAAAUUGCUGUCUC